rnacentral:lncRNA from 1 species
AGGUCAUUUGAAUUUGCUCACUGUUCUCGUUGUAGGAUUGAUUGGCUUCAAAGGGAUGGGAUCCUCCUCCUUGAGCUCGAUAGAGUACUUAGGCCCAGAGGCUAUUUUGCGUACUCAUCCCCUGAAGCAUAUGCACAGGCCAAAGGGAUGGAAUCCUCCUCCUUGAGCUCGAUAGAGUACUUAGGCCCAGAGGCUAUUUUGCGUACUCAUCCCCUGAAGCAUAUGCACAGGAUGAAGAGGAUUUAAGAAUAUGGAGGGAGAUGAGCGCACUUGUCGAACGCAUGUGCUGGAGAAUUGCAGCGAAAAGGAACCAAACUGUCAUUUGGCAAAAGCCUCUAAACAAUGAUUGUUACAUGGAAAGACCUCCUGGUACUCAACCACCGCUCUGUCGGUCUGAUGAUGAUCCUGAUGCUGUUUGGGGUGUGAAUAUGGAACCAUGCAUAACACCUUAUUCUGAAUGUAAGUGCUUGCCCCUCUUGUCGGUCUUUCUUUUGGUGUCGAUGCAUAACACCUUAUUCUGAACGUAAGUGCUUGCCCCUCUUGUCGGUCUUUCUUUUGGUGUCCCCUAGUACAACAACUAUAGCACAACUCUGCCUCAAGCAAGCUAGUUCAGUCGGCUCUUCUAAAGUUCAUUUCAUGACUGAAGAGUUCGGAAAUAAUACCAUAGUAUAGUAAAGGAGUUUCCAGCUAACUGCUAAACACCAGUUCUGGCUUGAAUUCUGUGCUCUAAAUUGUUUUUCUAUCCUGAUUUCGAUUAUCCAUUUUUGACUAAUUUUGAGUGCUAGUUUGUGAUUGCGACUUAAGCAAUUUGAAGUUGUGGUAUUUUAUUUUUAAUUUUGUUAAAGGGUCCCACAUAGGUUGAUGGACCUUAUAACUGCAUGUUUCUUUCUUGUGUUUUUAUUAUAUAUGAGUAUUUUGACAAGAGGUGCUUGGUCUGAUGGUAACCAACCCUCACUUACAACCGAGAGGUUGUGAG